rnacentral:piRNA from 1 species
UUCCGAAUUUUAUCAAUUUUACCUAGGA